GUCCAGACUCCUACGGGAGGCAGCAGUGGGGAAUAUUGCACAAUGGGGGAAACCCUGGUGCAGCGACGCCGCGUGAGUGAAGAAGUAUUUCGGUAUGUAAAGCUCUAUCAGCAGGGAAGAAAAUGACGGUACCUGACUAAGAAGCCCCGGCUAACUACGUGCCAGCAGCCGCGGUAAUACGUAGGGGGCAAGCGUUAUCCGGAUUUACUGGGUGUAAAGGGAGCGUAGACGGCAUGGCAAGUCAGAUGUGAAAGCCCGGGGCUCAACCCCGGGACUGCAUUUGAAACUGUCAGGCUGGAGUGCAGGAGAGGUAAGUGGAAUUCCUAGUGUAGCGGUGAAAUGCGUAGAUAUUAGGAGGAACACCAGUGGCGAAGGCGGCUUACUGGACUGUAACUGACGUUGAGGCUCGAAAGCGUGGGGAGCAAACAGGAUUAGAUACCCUAGUACU
rnacentral:rRNA from 1 species